CUACGGGCUGCAGCAGUGGGGAAUAUUGCACAAUGGAGGAAACUCUGAUGCAGCAACGCCGCGUGGAGGAUGACACUUUUCGGAGCGUAAACUCCUUUUAUAUAGGAAGAUAAUGACGGUACUAUAUGAAUAAGCACCGGCUAACUCCGUGCCAGCAGCCGCGGUAAUACGGAGGGUGCAAGCGUUACUCGGAAUCACUGGGCGUAAAGAGCGUGUAGGCGGGUUAAUAAGUCAGAAGUGAAAUCCUAUGGCUCAACCAUAGAACUGCUUUUGAAACUGUUAACCUAGAAUAUGGGAGAGGUAGAUGGAAUUUCUGGUGUAGGGGUAAAAUCCGUAGAGAUCAGAAGGAAUACCGAUUGCGAAGGCGAUCUACUGGAACAUUAUUGACGCUGAGACGCGAAAGCGUGGGGAGCAAACAGGAUUAGAUACCCCCGUAGUC
rnacentral:rRNA from 1 species